ACAAAAUCAUUAAAGUAAACAAUCCGUUUAUAAUACUAAAAACUAGGAAAUCUCAUGAUUGGUUCUGUAAAGAUUUACAAAUAAAAUCAUUAUGUUAUAAUUCAUGAAGUGGAUGGUUCAUAACCUAGACCAUAUAAGUUCAAGACUAAAGUUCAUUGGAGGUUUACAUCCAGCCACAUGAAAGACUCAUUCAACCUUAGUCUUUAUGAUUUUGACCAUGUCAUUAUGUAGAGUAUCUUUGUAAUCAAUUUUCUACCUAAGUUCUUCUUUACCCAUGAGUUGCAGAAAGCUGGAGAGGUCAACGUCCUUCAGAUCCGGUCUAGUGAAAACUCAGCCGACCUCUUCACCAAAUCAUUGCCCUCUUGCACAUUCAGGAAGUUCACGCAACAAGAUUGGCACGCGUAGACUCAAGGACCUUCAGUGAUGUCCAAAUCAGGGGGAGUAAUGUGUGUUGUACUUUUUUUCCUUUCUCUGGUUUCCCUUUUUACCACAUUGGGUUUUGGGUUUUCUAGGAGAGGUUUUAAUGAUGCAACAUUAGCAUGUUACAAGCCCUAUAUGGUUAUGGCAUCCAAGGGGGAGUGUUAUGAAUCAUGAAGUGGAUGGUCCAUAACCUAGACCAUACAAGUUCAAGACUAAAGUCCAUUGGAGGUUUACAUCCAGCCACAUGGAAGACCCAUUCAACCUUAGUCUUUAUGAGUUUGACCAUGUUAUUAUGUAGAGUAUCUUUGUAAUCAAUUCUCCCUUUGACUCCACCUUGUAUGAACCACUAUAUAUAGUGGUGUAAGCAAUAAGAAAUAUACAACACAUUCUCACAAAUCUUCUCUCAGAUAUUAACACAUUAAAAUAAAUUGAUAUCGAGUUUCGAUAUAUAAAUCACUAAAGUUUUGAGGUAUAAAUGAAGCAUAUAUUCACAAGUGUGUACAAAGGCAAAGCUAUAUAGAAUAGAAGAGAAAUCAAACUUCACUCGAAGUGGAAGAGAGAA
rnacentral:lncRNA from 1 species